rnacentral:rRNA from 1 species
UCGGAACGUGCCCAAUCGUGUGGGAUAACGCAGCGAAAGCUGUGCUAAUACCGCAUACGAUCUACGGAUGAAAGCAGGGGAUCGCAAGACCUUGCGCGAAUGGAGCGGCCGAUGGCAGAUUAGGUAGUUGGUGAGGUAAAGGCUCACCAAGCCUUCGAUCUGUAGCUGGUCUGAGAGGACGACCAGCCACACUGGGACUGAGACACGGCCCAGACUCCUACGGGAGGCAGCAGUG